rnacentral:misc_RNA from 1 species
CGAAAUGCGAUAAGUAAUGUGAAUUGCAGAAUUCAGUGAAUCUUCGAAUCUUUGAACGCACCUUGCGCUCCUUGGUAUUCCGAGGAGCAUGCCUGUUUGAGUGUCAUUAUAUUCUCAACCACUCUGGCUUUUGAGGUCAGCUUGUGGCUUGGAAUUGGGGGUGAACUUCUGCGGGCCUCUCUGAGGUCAGCUCCCCUAAAAUGCAUUAGCGGAACCGUUUGCGGUGCGUCGCCGGUGUGAUAAUUAUCUACGCCAAAGAUGAGCGCUGCUCUCUGUCUGUUCAGCUUCUAACUGUCCUUCUUGGACAACUUGAACAUUUGACCUCAAAUCAGGUAGGACUACCCGCUGAACUUAAGC